rnacentral:rRNA from 1 species
CCUACGGGUGGCAGCAGUGAGGAAUAUUCGUCAAUGGACGAGAGUCUGAACCCGCAAAGUAGCGUGAAGGAUGACGGCUCUCUGGGUUGUAAACUUCUUUUAUAUGGGAAUAAAAUGUUCCACGUGUGGGAUUUUGUAUGUACCAUAUGAAUAAGGAUCGGCUAACUCCGUGCCAGCAGCCGCGGUAAUACGGAGGGUCCGAGCGUUAUCCGGAUUUAUUGGGUUUAAAGGGAGCGUAGGUGGAUUGUUAAGUCAGUUGUGAAAGUUUGCGGCUCAACCGUAAAAUUGCAGUUGAAACUGGCAGUCUUGAGUACAGUAGAGGUGGGCGGAAUUCGUGGUGUAGCGGUGAAAUGCGUAGAUAUCACGAAGAACUCCGAUUGCGAAGGCAGUUCACUGGACUGCAACUGACACUGAGGCUCGAAAGUGUGGGUAUCAAACAGGAUUAGAUACCCCUGUAGUC